rnacentral:lncRNA from 1 species
GUUUUUCUCAACCUGAUAAUGACAAACACAGGUCAAAGUACGACCUUUUACACAGGGUUUUGAUACAGACCAAACAGCAAGCUAUAAAGGACCCCAAAAUUAUUAGCGUACACAAUUCGAACAGGAAAACCAACGAUCUAAUUUAUUAUAUCAUGUAUAUCAAAACGGGAAAAUACCAAUGAACAACAUCAACAAACGAUAACUGCUGAACGACAGGCCCCUCAAUCAAUUAGGACAGGUAAAUUAACAUGCAGUGGCUAUGGAUAGUUUUCUUUCGACAGCAUACAAUAUAAUUGCAGUUGAGGCAAAUCCUUCAGAAGUUCUUUGUACUUUAUUCUAACAACGAACAUUUCUUGAUAGGGAAUAUAAGUAAGGGGGAAAGAAACCAAUUUUUUGUUCUUUACUAUACAAAUCCUUGUAAAUUUAUAUCGGAGCACUCCAAAAUUUGGAUAAAUAGGUUUCAUGCUGAAACAAAUAUUCUAACAAAUAUUUACACAGUGUGGUGGGGUGCUUUUAUGUUUAAAAUCGUUAUAUACAGGUUAGACUGUGAUUUUAAAAACAAAUGUUGAUAUCUUUUUAUAAUAUUUACAAAAAAAAAAAACGGUGCGGGAAAUGGACAUGAUUACAUUUCCGGAUGCGGGAAGCGGGAAUAUAAAAAAAAAAAAAAAAAAUUCUGUUUUGAAAAAAAUAGGUGCGGGCGGGUCCGUCGAACAAGGAAUCAAAUUUGUGUGGCCUAAC